AGUUCCAAGGUUUAAAACUGGGGAAGUUAGAGACAUGUUAUUAUUAUUUUUUUUAAUUUCAACUUUUAUUGUAGACACAGGGAGUACAUGUGCAGGUUUGUUACAUGGGUAUAUUGCACCCAGGUAUUGAGCAUAGUACUCAAUGGGUAGUUUUUCAACCCACAUCUCCCUUGCUCCCUCCCCUGUCUAGUGGUCCACAGUGCCUAAUGUUCCCAUGUGUAUGUCCAUGUAUGCUCAAUACCAUAAUCCUAAGUGAAUUAAUGCAGGAACAAAGACAUGUUUUUGUUUUUGUUUGAAUGCUACAUCUGGGGCUGGCUAGGAUUGAGAAGACACUAUGUCUUGCUGAUAUGUCAGUCGCAACUUCAGCCUCUUUUGUGUGUGUGUGUGUAAAAAAGAAAUCUUUUUUAUUUAUUUAUUUUCAAAUUAUAAAUUCAUAGGGUACAUAUGCAGGCUUGUUACAUGGGUGUAUUGCAUAAUGCUGGGUUUAGGCUUCUAGAGAACCCAUCACCCAAAUAGUGAACAUAGUAUCCAAUAGGUAGUUUUUCAAUUCUUGUCCCCCUUUCCACCCUCCCCACUUUUGGAUUUCUCAGAUCUAUUUUUUCCAUCUUUAUAGCCACCAACAUGAGUCUUUUGAUGAAAUAAUGUUUGGCUGAGGUCCACAACUUAAAACAACAUUCCAAUAUAGAUUCUCAUGAUCCCUGAAGAAGUGUGUCUGAUGUGGCUAAACAUCAUCAAAUGAGUAAGUCAACAUAGUAAAAGAAAAGAACAGUUCUUUAUCAGAUUAAAUGAGCGAAACAGCUAAAUGUCAAGUGACAAAACAUUGGGACUGACUGUAUAAAAUGCUAAUAACAUCUACCAAACAGUUUACAUUGUGCUAAACAACUUAUGCACAUUAUUUCUUUGAUUCUUUUUAACACAUGGUUGUGGGCUGAAUGGUGUCUCCCAAGAAGUCAUAUGCCGGGAUCCUGUCCCAUAGUGCCUCACAACGUGACAUUGUUUGGAGUUAGGGUUGUUGAAGAUGUCAUUAGUCAAGAUGAGGUCAUACUUGAGUGAGGUGGGUUUCUAAUCCAAUGUGACUGGUGUCUGUGAAAAGGGGAAAUGUGGACACAGGUCCACAUAUAAGGAGAACACCAUGUGAAGAUGAAGGUAGAAAUUACAGUGAUGUGUCUACAAGCCAAGGAACACCAAAGAUUGACAGAAAAUCACCAGAAGCCUAGAGAGGCAUGAAACAUUCUCCCUCAGAGCCUUCAGAAGAAAGCAAUCCUGCUGGCACCUUCAUCUUGGACUUUGAGCCUCUAGAACUGUGAGGCAAUACAUUUCUGUUGUUUAAGCCACCCAGUUUGUGGCAUUUUGUUACAGCAGCACUGGAAUCCUAAUGGAUGCUGUAUUAGAUAAAUAUUUUAGGCUUAGGAAGAAGAGAACUGUAGACAUGCAGCAGCCAUCUUGUGGAUAUGAGGGAAGAGCCAAAUAGACUACAAAUCGGUUAACACAGAGAACUAAAAUUGUGGAGCUACUGAAUGAACCAGCUAUGGAAUUGUCUGUGUGUGGGCAUUCAGAUGGACAUACCGGAUAAAAUUCUGGACUGGUAAGAGUGUGGGGAAAUUGCCAGUCUUAAGCAGUGCUGAUGGAGGUGUGAAUUGGUAAAACAAUUUGAAAAGCAACAGAAGCAUCUUCUGUUCUAAUGAAGUGACUCUUGGUGUGUACCCGGAUAACCUCAUGACUGGAGUUGGUUGGCUGCUAGAAGAACAAAUCAUGUGAUUAGAGUGUUGGAACUUUCAACCUUAGCCCUCAACUUCUGGGGAGGGGAGAAGCGCAAAAGGUAGAGUUGACCACUAAUGGCCAGUGAUUUAACUAAUCAUGCCUAUGUAAUGAAGCAUCCAUAAAAAACUAAAGAUCACGGUGCAGAGAGCUUCUAGAUUGCUGAAUAAGUGGUAGUUCCUGGAGGAUGAUGCACCCAGAGAGGCAUGGAAGCUCUGUACCUCUUUCCACAUGUCUUUGCCUAUGCAUUUCUUCCAUCUGGCGGAUCAUCUGUUUGCUUUGUAGUAUUUUGUAUUUAAAAAAUGGAUAAAUGUAAAUAAAAUGUUUCCCUGAGUUAUGUGAGCCACUAUAGCAAAUUAAUUGAACCAAGGAGAUCAUGGAAACCCCAAUUUAUAGCUGGUUGUUCAGAAGCACAGGCCAAAGCCUGGAGCAUGUGAUUGGCAUCUGAAGUUGGGGGGAGUCUUGAGGAAUGGAGCCCUCGACCUAUGAAAUCGGACACUAACUCCAAGUAGAUAGUUGGGUGAAUUAGAAGACACCCAGCUGGUGUCCACUAGAGAAUUGUCUGGUGUUUGGGAAAAACUCACACCCAGUUUGGUGACCAGAGUUGAAGUGUAGUGUUGAGAAUAGAGAGUAAGAAAAAAGUCUGCUUUUCCAUCAAAGGUACCACGUCUGUUUCUCAUACUACUUGAAGGAGUCUAAAUCAUACUAUAUGGGAAACCGUAAAAUGUAGCAUCUAAAAGUUUACAACUUUUGGUAGGAGGCAGUCUGUGCCUCCCACCAAAACUCAUAAGGUAUGAAUUCAUCAAACUGUAUUACAGAGAGUUUUGGUGCUAGGUGGCAGAAAAGAAUAAUCGAUGUGUGCAGUGUAUCUUCUUUUUGAGUUUAGCCAUUCUACUGGGUGAAAACUGAUUUCCCAUUCUUUCUCUUAUAACAUUUUCCUAAUACUAUGUUUAAGAUAUGUUUUAUUUCAUUUUCCUAAUUUGUACUUUUAUCUUUUUCAAUUAUUAAUAUAGUUUUGUGCUCUUAAAUUUUUAAUGCAAUUUAUAUUUUGGUAGUAUCUAAAGUAUCAAUCAUUUUAUUAUUCAUUCACCUUAAAAUGUGGCUAUGGUUUGGACAUUUGGAUUAAGUGAUGACAUUGUAAUUCAGCCAGAACUGGCAGUAAUCAUCAGUGUUUGGCAUGUUUUGAGAACAAAAGUCCCAGUUCCUGGAAGGGUGGCCCUUUAUGUGAACACAGAGUGCACACUCUGUAUGGUGUAAUCCAAGACAGUUGAACGGUCUGCCUGCCAAAAAUAUGCCUUCCACCAGGUUUUUAUAAAGACUAGUAUUACCAGCUUGAAGGCCAUUUUCUGAUUUAGGGCAUUAAAACCUAAGGACCAUGUUAAAAGACUGAAAUUAACAUUCACUGACUUGUUCAUUCAUUAAACUUUUUUAAGUUUUUUAAUUGACAAAUAAUUAUAUACAUCUAUAGGGUACAAUGUGAUGUUUUAUGUAUGUGUGUGUAUGUAUACAUGUGUAUAUAUAUAUAUAUAUUUUUUUUUUUUUUUUUUUUUUUUUUUUGAGACGGAGACUUCUCUGUCGCCCAUGCUGGAGUGCAGUGGCACUAUCUCAGCUCACUGCAAGCUCCGCCUCCCGGGUUCACACCAUUCUCCUGCCUCAGCCUCCCGAGUAGCUGGGACUAAAGGCACCCGCCACCACGCCCAGCUAAAUUUUUGUAUUUUUAGUAAAGACAGGGUUUCACCGUGUUAGCCAGGAUGGUCUUGAUCUCCUGAUCUCGUGAUCCACCUGCCUCAGCCUCCCAAAGUGCUGGGAUUACAGGCAUGAGCCACUGCACCCAGGCGAUGUAUGUGUGUAUUAUAGAAUGAUUAAAUCAAGCUACUUAACAUAUCCAUAACCUCACUUACUUAUGUUGUUUACAUGUGCUAUGAACAUUUAAAAUCCACUCUCAUAGCAAUUUUGAAAUAUACAUUACAUUAACUAUUGUCACCAUGCUGUGCAAUCGAUUUUAAAAACUUAUUCCUCCUAUUUAACCAAAACUUUGUAAAUAUUUAAUGAGUGCCUCCUAUUAGCCAGACCCUGUUUGAGGCACUAAUGACACAGAGUUGAAAGUCAAGUUUGAACCUCUCUUCUUAGGCAUAUAACUGUAGGCAAAUUGUGUCAACUCUGGCCAGUUUUCACAUUUAAAAUAGAGAUGAUAAUGCUGCCCACUUAAUGGGUUUGCUCUAAGAAUUAAAUGAUAUUGUUUACGGUGCCCAGAAGGAAGGUAGGCCCACUGGCAGUCAGCGCACGUAAUGGACCAAGGGGUCUUUGAAGAAAGAACAUAUCCAAGUACAGGCGAUGAGCUUGUAUUUGAGCACAAUGGGGCAAUGUUGAAUGGCAGUAUGGGAGGUGCUAUCUGUGAUCCUCCCACAGUCUGAUGACAGGGCCAACACCAAAAGGUGUGAUCUAAUCAAGCACCAAGCGCCCACGCAAGGGUGCUGUCCAAACCAGAGACAGCCUAUGGGGACUGCCAGUUAGCUCUGCCAAAAAACAUCCUUCCUGUCCAAGUCUCCCCCAAGUCUCUAAUAAGAAGAGCCACCUUGAAGCUUUGGACUCCAAGCAUGGCUUUCCGGUACAACUUUAACACAGAAGUUUAUAUUCAAUUACCUACAGAUACCAAAAUUAUCAUUACUAUCAUUAUUAAUAAACAUACAGUUAAUUACAACAAGGUACGACAAAUCUAUAAUAGACGUAGGCUAGGCUGCUAUGGUUGAUGAGAGUAUAGAGGGAACAGCACUUCCCAAAUUGGAGCAGAGGAAAGAAGGUUUAUAGAAGGCACCCAGAGGAGAAAAAACUUGAAUCAAGUCUUCAAGAAUGAAUAUGAGUUAUUCUGGAGAAGAAAGUAUGUGUGUUUGGCAGGAAGUACAAAUGCUUGGAGAAGACAAAUUAAAUAGCACAUCCAAACUAUGGGGAUGUGAAAGAAUGUGGAGUGUUGGUAGACUUAUGAAAGGGUAGCGUGGGCCAGGACAUAACCUAAAUGUGGGAGAAUGGAGAGAAAGGAUGCUGUUCAAAUUAUGGAUGGCUUUGUGUACGACAUUGAAUUGAGACAUUGUGUUCAAUAAUAUAAGGAGACAUAAAAUGACUUUCAGGGUGGUGGAUGGUGGGAGGUCAUGAUUAUCUGUAUUUUAGACUUUCUACUCAGAGAGUAGUGGGGAAGUUGACUGAAGGAGUUUAAGAUUAGUAACCAGGAGAGCCCCAUCAUAUCAAUGCAGUAAUCUCAUGGGGAGUGGCAAUGGCUAAAGUAGUAGCAGUAGCAAGGAAGGAAACAAUUAGAUACACACUUGAGAGGUAGAAUUGGCACUUGAGACAACUGGCUGAAGAACAAGGAGAACUCUUCAAAUAUUACCAGGUCCCUGGCCUGGACAACUGAGUUGAUGUGGCAUUAUCAAGCAUGGGAUGUAGAAGACCAGGGUCAGUUUGUUGAUUAUGUGUAGACUCUGAGAUGUCUGUGGAACACUAUUCCAAUGAGACCUGGAGCUCCCUGUAUAUAGUGAUAUUUUCAAGUUGUGACAGAUGUGUAUUUUACCAACUGGAUGAUCUCCAUGUCUCAUAUUAUCUUCCCCACAUGAUUCUUGUGAGUAUGGGCCUCAAAAGGCACCUGGUGUGAGAUUUAGAAGACAGAAGUGAAGUCGCAUUGGAUUAUUUUUAUGCUCCAGAGGUUGGAGCUGGGUAUGAGAUACAGUAACUACACAGUCAAGUUCUACCUGCCAACUCACCUUGGUGGCAACAUUCAGCCUCAUUCCUGUAUAAUCCUCUGUUCCUGCUGUAGCUCCUUCUUCAGCAUCUCUUGGGCUGGGUGAAUAAAAAAGGGGACUGGCUUCUACAGGACACCCAUGUUAUCAAGGGUUACUUCUUAGUAAGAGACUGACGUGUGUUCCAGUUCAUCUUCAUAAGCCAACUCAUCCAGAAGGUCCCAGUUUUUCCUCCUGGGUUCUAGCUCAGACUGUCAGGUUCCACUUUGUCCAUGGUUUCUUUCUUAAAUGCCUGCUGUGAUGACUUCAGGCUGAUAUAGAAGAAAAGAGCCUCCCAUAUUACUAUUGAAUUGCCUCCCAAAACUGCAAAAGGUCAAGUCUCUAUGGAUAAUCCUUACUGGUUCUUCUACUCUGAUUGAAGCCUGACUGACACAACAAAUGUGAUUUUUAUAAACCUCUUUUUCAUUGUAUACAGCUUGGUAUACAUAGUCCAACUAUCCAGACACUUUGGUCCCUGGGACCAAAGGUUAGCAGUUUUAGAAUUCCAUCAGUCUAGCACCCUGCUGUUCAGUUAGCAUUAAGCCAGUGGCCCAUCUCCUCAAGCUCAGAAAUCAUGUGUACAAUAGAUUGAAAAUCUAAAGCAGGGGUUGGCCUGCAUUUUCUGUGAAGUGCCUAAUAGUAAAUAUUUUAGGAUUUGUAGCCCAUAAAGUCUUUAUUGCAACUAUUCUGCUUGCAAUAUUGAAUAACAAGCAGCCAUAGAAAAUAUAGAAAUUUUAAAAUAUGGCUGUGUCACAAUAAAACUUUACUUACAAAAACAAACAGUACAGAUUU
rnacentral:lncRNA from 10 species